rnacentral:rRNA from 1 species
UUGUGCCAGCAGGCGGUAAUACGGAGGGUGCAAGCGUUAAUCGGAAUUACUGGGCGUAAAGCGCACGCAGGCGGUCUGUUAAGUCAGAUGUGAAAUCCCCGGGCUUAACCUGGGAACUGCAUUUGAAACUGGCAGGCUUGAGUCUUGUAGAGGGGGGUAGAAUUCCAGGUGUAGCGGUGAAAUGCGUAGAGAUCUGGAGGAAUACCGGUGGCGAAGGCGGCCCCCUGGACAAAGACUGACGCUCAGGUGCGAAAGCGUGGGGAGCAAACAGGAUUAGAUACCCUGGUAGUCC